AAAUACAAAGCUCAUAUCGAAACAAUUAUCAUCGGAUAACCGUUCAGAUCCAGGUUCCCGAAAGUGUCAAUUUCGACACCGGAACUCACCGUCACUCACCUGUCGUCUCCAAACCCUUGAAACGACAUAACUAACCAGCCAAUAUGGCUUAACGACCAAACACAGGACACUCUAAAACCGUCAGAUGAAAUCGAACCAAAAUCGCGUUUUGCCAGCGAAUUUUGCCGAAAAACACACCGAGAUCAAUACUCGAUUUCCGCGAAGAGCAUCAGACCUU
rnacentral:lncRNA from 1 species